CAUUUCAGGUUGCUAGUCCUAGACGAACCCAACCCCUGUGUUGAGUCCCCUAAGUCAAAUGCAUCAUGAUGCAAAUAAGCGUUCCUACUAGGGAUCCAGCAUGAAGUCAAUUUAUUCUAUGUUCAAAACCUGGGUCAGUGUUCUAGACAGUGUACCCUAGCGGACAACUCGAGUCGAGUAGGGAGCAACGUACCGGUGACCUGCGCGAUCGUCCGGCUUUGUAACUUAUCCUAGCCUCUUAUUAUUUCAGGGUAUGACACUAACAGAAUAGGGAGUCUCAACCAGUAAGCACAUCCCCAGAAGUGAAGAGAGAAGGGUAUCGGCACAGUUUAUAUACAGUUUCAGAUAAUAUCAAAGCGGUAACAUUUAGCACAUUUAAGCAUGAAUUAUGUACAAAAUUCAGAUAUAACCAAAUACAACAAUUUAUCAAAGCUCAAUUUAUGAACCCUGAACAAAACGUUCUGGGUUAUUGUCCCCUGCAAAGUGUCCAGAGGUGUCACACCUCCUUUUUUCGCUAUACACCCCCGCAAAGAGGCGUAUAGGUGUUUUUCCACUUAAAGGACAAUCAGAACGAGAUUUAGUUUAUUAACUAUUCAGAGUAGUCACUUGGGAGAUUAAUGGUGUCCCAAGUCACCGGUUUCAAUCCCAAACCGAAGAAAGAUUAUGACUUUAUUAACAGUCCGCGAACCAGAAAUACGAGUAAGGAAUUCUGUUAACCCGAGAGAAGGUGUUAGGCAUUCCAGGGUUCUGUGGUUCUAGACGGUCGCUUAACUAUUGCAUUUGAUUUUAUAUGAUUUUAAUACAUGCUAACUUUGUGCCUUUUAUUUAUAUACCACUUUUACCAUUAUUUAUUAUAAAAGACUUGCGAUGUCGUGAAAACGUGUCUUUGACCACAUCAAGGUACCCAUACUCAUCGACACAUUUCGACUUCAUCAAGAUUUGUAUUUGGGUCGCAUCAAUGCACACCCGAGUUUAGUAAGAUAAAUUUAAUUAAAUCGCGCUUAAAGGUUCUAGCGUAAUAUUGUUUGGGAAAGGCUGUUGUAAUUCGCUAAACGGCCCCUCCAAAUUCGUCAUUUUUUAAUAAUCAAUUAUUGAGGGCCCCAUAUUUAUUUUUGUUCGGUGAGGCUCAUCUCUAUUUUAUUAGUAUAUUAGAUUAUUAUUUGUUUUAUAAGAAUUACAAUGUCAUGAAAAUGCGUUUCUAACCCCGUCUCCAUCAAGGAACUUGUGGUUAUCAACACAUUUUGACUUCGUCGAGAUUUGGAUUUGGGUUGCAUCAAUGCACACCCAAGAUUAAGAAGGUACUUUAAUUAUCUCAAAGAUUCUAUCGUAUUAUCACUUUGAGGAAGGCCGUGAAAUUUGCUCAACGACCCUCCUACUUUCUAAGUCAAUUAAUAUAAUUAUUUAUCGAAGGCCACGCAUUUGUUUUUGUUUGGCGAGGCUCCUCUCAACAUUUAUUAAAAUUCUAACUUAGGAGUGACUACCAAUUCUAUUGACCAGCUAUCUCUAUAAGAAGAAACCUUAAUUGCGUAAGAAUUGAAUUGUUUCGCAAAAUAGAAUUGCACUUUAGGCAGUCCAAACUCAACUAACGAGCUGGACCACUUCAUGAGCUUCUGAAAACGGCCCAAAUAUUGUGGCUGUGCAAUAGUAAGGAAAGCCCAGGUGAUAGAUGGCUACACAUGGGAUUGAAUUCUCACAAGACCAGAUCCCAUCCCAUGUGGGCUAUGGUCUGGCUGAUUUCCUUUUGUGGAAGAUUCCAACAUAUUGGGCCUAUAGCGUGAACAAUCAGGCCCAAACAAUUACACCACCUGAAUGUAUGGCUCGAGAUCGAGCCUGGGUGAUGGCAACAAAUGCAAUUCCAAAUACUUACCUAACAUGAUUGCAUUAGGCAAUUAAUAUUUUUGCCAAGGACUCAAUAGUCCUGAUCUCAGUUUAAGCAGAAAUAUGAAUUCAAACCAACACAGAAGCUCGAACUACCUUUUAAGAUGUCCCAUACUGAACUAAAGCAUACAAAACCUGAUUUCAGCUAGUAUUUAACUAUCCUAAACUCGAGUUUUAUGAGCUCAAUUUUUUUGUAUGCACAUAGCAGAGAGAUUGGUAUUUGCACAACCCAUAUUUAACAGUAUCUAUAACUCAAAUCUUGCUAUAGGAAACAAUUGUCGAAGAUGUGUACGAAAUCAAUUUAAACAAGUAAUCUACCUACAAUGAAAUUACUAAGUUUAACAGUCCAAUUAGCAUCAGUUUAGCUACAUGGCUCAACUACCAAAAUAUGCAUCACUAGUUUUAAUCCAGAGAUAUAAUUAUGAUGAACAGAUGAACUACAUAUAUUAAAUAUUAAUGCCAAAAUCAUAUCACACUUAAUCUACAACUCCAGAGCAGGUAAUUCACUUCAAUCUUGAUUCAUAUUUCCAGUGAAAUGAAGAUAUAUGGUGUCAAACUUCAGGAUAUGUACCUGGUUUUCGAAUUACAGUGAAAGAAGAAGGAGUUAGCAGAAGCAGGUGAAGCACCAGCAGUAUCCAAGAACAAUAUUCAGCAGCCCAAGGAGAAUUAAACACCAGAAACCAAUCUCAAACAAGCAACAACCAAACAAGUGUUAUUUAACACAAAACAACUUCACCAAACACUACGCGACACUCUACUCAACUACUGCAUCAACUGAAGGGCCCAAACUGAUUCAAAUAAACUCAAAAACCAACAUAAAUGGACCCAGGAAAAUAGCCAAGUCAUGACAACCAAAAUCUGAACUAGGAAGUGGUAAAUCAAAAGCGGAGAGUUGAAAGUCACUCGAUGCCUAAUGGAACAGUAACAUUUUUUGGUUUUCUUGAUUUUUUUUGUAUUUUUGGUUGUUUUUUUGAAGGCUAAUCCAGAAAAACAAAAUAAUUAGAGUCGAAAUAGUAUUUGGGAGCUAAUAGUCUAAAAAUGGCCGAAGGAAGAAGAAGACCCUUUCACAAGCAUGAGGGUAUUAAUUUAUACACAACACUAGGGUAAAGAAUCUGAUUAUUGGUUUUCUAUUUUAGUCCUUUUUUAAUUUCAGUUUGGUCCUAUUAUUUUUGACUUGCUAAACAAGCAAGUACCUCUAUUAUGCUAAAAUAUAAACUAAAGUACCAUUCUAGAAGGCCCUAGGAUGCUCUUCUAUCUACAAAACACCUACACUAUCCUUACCCUUGUUUUGGAAUUAUUAUUAUUCCAAAAACUACCCUUUUCCAUUCCUAGAAUGCCCCUCCAAUGAUCUGAAAAUUACAGUCCAAGGACAAUUUAUCCCAAUCCCCUCACCGUAGCUAGAAUUUGACUAGAGUUAAACUAAUCCAAAUAUCUUCUCAGCUAUAUCCAAUACACCUAUAUUGAUAUUACCAUAAUUAACACUAAAAGUAACUGAACAACUAACAAACUGAUAAAAUGAAAUCAAUCAAAAUCAAAUUCUAAAUCCACAGAGCAAAGAAAAACCAAAUUAACUAACGACCAAUUAUCAAAAAACAAAUUAAAACUGAAUUAUCAUUAGCAAACUAAAAGUGAAGAACAAUUAUGUCAUGAUAAAACUAAACAUACAACAGAAAAAAGGACUAUAAUGGAAUUAACAAGAACACCAUUAAACACUUAGGAAAAUGAAAGAAAUAACACAUGACAAAACUGGACGUAUGAAUUUACUGGUUGAAACAGAUGGAACGACAACGAAGAUAAAGAUAAAAUAAACUAUACGAUGAUACUUACUAUGGAAUUCAAUCGACCCUGAAAAAAUUCCCGAAACAGAUUCGUUCCCCCAACACCCUAGAUCUGCAAUUCAGGCUCUUCUGCCUGUAUUUGAGGGAUUCUGAGCAUGUUUUAUUGAUGAGGGAGGGAUGAAUGUUAUCUGGUAUUAAUUUGGUGGGGAAAAGAGGCGCCGCCGCCAUUGGGAUUCAAAGCUGGCGACUAAGGUUCGUAACUUCUAAGAGGAUUCGAUGAGUUCUUGGUGUGUUCGAACGUUUCUAGCCAUGGAUUGAGGGUGUAGGAGAUAGAGUGGUGUUGGGGUGUUCAUUUGGUAGGGAUUAGACGCCAGCUCCGCCACAGGAGGAGUUGAGGGUAUGGCGGCGGAGUCGCUAGGGUUUUGCAGAGAAUAAGUCUAAUUGGAGAGAUGAGAGAUGGGGGGGGGGGGCAUGAAUUCAAACAGUUAAAUGUUAAAA
rnacentral:lncRNA from 1 species